rnacentral:snRNA from 1 species
GUGCUCGCUUUGGCAGCACAUAUACUAAAAUUGGAACGAUACAGAGAAGAUUAGCAUGGCCCCUGCACAAGGAUGACAUGCAAAUUCAUGAAGCGUUCCAUUAUUAA